GCUCCAGAAGCUCAAUUGGUGAGCGCCAGACUGAAAAUCUGGAGGUUGGGGGUUUCCGGCCUGAAGGCCGGACCGUGCACCCGACGGAGGAGUGGUGCACGGCGAAUCCUCCCUGGAGCACCA
rnacentral:tRNA from 1 species